rnacentral:lncRNA from 1 species
AUAGAGUAGAUUGACUUGCAAGCUUCAAGAAAGCAAAGCUCAAAGCGAACGGGCAUCCUUAUCCGAUCCAGGUCACAUCUGUUCAUCGACUCUAUCAAAGCUCCAGUGGCCGGUGUGAUGUGAUUUGGACCACCUGCCAUCCUGCAACGGUAACUAUCUUCAGCAAUAGAAUCUGAAUUUCAUUAACAACCAGUCGCCUAUACAUGAUCAAAAGUAAUCACCAAAGACUUGCAAACCACAAUUAGGUAAACUUAACGAGCAAGUUGCUAACCGUCCAGUUAAUGAAAUUAUAGCCUGAGUGGUAGACUGCAGGUAGCCCGUAGCCGUUGGCUGGCUGGCUGCAGAUACCGGAGUAAGCAAUGAUAGGCUGCACAUGUGGAGCCUUGUUCUGGAGAACUCCACAUGUUAUAACUACCUACCCAAACUUUCACAAAGACCCAAGUAGCAGAAUUAAUACCGUUCUUCAAGAUUUAGAACCUACCUGUCAGUCUGGCAUUAGCUGCCAGGACGAAAAAUCGGCAGAUGCUUAUACUAAUCUAUGCAAGUCUUUGGGUACUGGAGCUUAAUCAGCACUCCUCUCCAUGUGGGCAGAUAAGGACGCCCCUGGGAACGGGGUACCGGCCCACG